CACACAGACACCAGGACAGACGAGGAAGAAAUGAGCAGCGUCUUCUCUCCCAGUGUUUCCUCCACACAUGAAGGUGGAAAGUGUCUGUAAGUCGACCUGAGGUGUGGACUCUGCUAUGAAUCAGGCUGAGGACAGAGAGGAGGGAGUCCCUCCCUCUAAAACCACUCUGUGUGGGGAACAUGACAGCCAGACCAAAGCUCAGAGGUCAGACUCUCCUGUGUCCAGCUGUGUGUCCUUUAACAGUGACC